rnacentral:tRNA from 1 species
GAAGCUGUAGUCUAAGAAAUACAACCACAUUCCAUCGUGGUAGAUGGUGGUGCAAAUCCACCCGGCUUCUCCA